rnacentral:lncRNA from 1 species
UACCUUUUGCCCGGCUACUAGUAGUACUUAAGAUUUAAUUAAGCUAGCCUAAUAUAGUCGUCUCACCGUAUAUAGGAAUUCCGUGUUAACCAUGUUAAGCAGCUGCGGCGGCGGCUGAGCUUGCUGGAGGCGAACGAACGAGCGAGCGCGUGGCGAGGUGGGUGGAUAGAUGUCGGCGAUGGCUCGGGGCCGUGAUCGAUCGUACGUCGUGCCGUCAGAUGCGUACGUACGGCAUAUACUAAGACCUUGUUUAGUUGGUAAAAUGAGGCAAAAUGAAAAGUUUUUGGAUAUUAUAGCAUUUUCGUUUGUUUGUGGUAAAUAUUGUCUAAUUAUGAUAGGCUCAAAAGAUUUAUCUCGCGAUUUACAAACAAAUAGUUAGUUUUUGUUUUUGAUUAUAUUUAAUGUUUCAUAUAUGUGCCGUAAGAUUCGAUGCGUUAGUGAAUCUUGAAAUUUUUUUUGUUUUUGGGUGAAUUAAACAAGGCCUAACUGAUGUUUAGUUGUAGGGCAUGUUGUUUGCCUUUUUUUUUAUGAAACAGGAGGGGUCGCCACCUACUGGAUUAUUAUUGAGAAUAAAUAGAACAGUUCUCCGUACAAAAAUAAUCAAGAAACAAAGAAGGAAAUAAAAAAAAUAAGACUAAUUGUACAAAUCUGUGCAGCCAUGAAUCUAGCAAAAUCUUGUAGUCCUCUUUAGCUCUGAGCUUAACCCAAGCCAGCUGUGUUCUGAGAACAGUCUUACAGUUCUGAAUGGAGUGCUGUAGAUUUUUGAAGAUACAAUCAUUUCUCUACGUCUAGAUGGCCCAGAGCAUGGAGAUAACAAUUU